CCCUGGGUAGUGUAAACGGUGAACACGCUUGGCUGGUAACUAAAAAGUUGGAGGUUCAAGUCCACCCAGAGGCA
rnacentral:tRNA from 1 species